GGGUAUAGGUUUUGGGUUUAGGAUUUACGGUUUGGGUUUAGGAUUUACCGUUUGGACUUAUGGUUAAAGUUUUGAGUUUAGGGUAUAUAAUUUGGGUUUAAGGUUUACGGUUUGGGUUUAGGGUUUAGGACUUGGGUUUAGGGUAUAGAGUUUAGGUUUAUAGUCUAGUUUUUGGGUUUAGGGUAUAGAGUUUGGGUUUAGGGUCUAGGAUUAAGGUUUAGGGUAUAGAGUUUGGGUUUAGGGGUCUAGGAUUAGGGUUUAGGGUAUAGGGUUUGGGUUUAGGGGUUUGGAUUUAGGUUUAGAAUUUAGGGUAUAGGGUUUAGAAUUUAAAAUUUAGGGUUUAGGGUUCGCUGGAAACGUUAGCGUCGCUAAAAUUAUCAUUUUUAUUUUUUAUAGCUAUUUUUUGUUUAUUUUAAUGUUUUUUAAUUAAUAAUCUAAGUGGAAAUUUGAUUGGUUAUAAAUGGUAGGGUGAAUUUAAAGGUUCAUUUUAGGAGGUGAACCUAAGUUUUGUCCGUGUUUGAUGGACCUGGCCUAUUCCAGAGAAAGUGUUCAUGUACGUAUAAUGUUGAGGGGUUAUUUUUUUUUGUUUUUGUAACUUAGGCUUUCAUGAGGUUAUUUAUUGUAGUAAGCUUUUGUCUUCUGCUAUAUGUUAUAGAUAUAUAAGAUUCUUAGUCUUGU
rnacentral:lncRNA from 1 species